rnacentral:rRNA from 1 species
GUCCGUUAAUUCCCUGGUGAAAUCCCCGGCUCACCCGACAGCGUGCAGGGGACACUGCCAAACUUGAGACCGGGAGAGGUCAAAGGUAUUCCCGGUGGACCGGUAAAAUGGGUAUAAUCUCCGGAGGACCACCAGUGGCGAAGGCGUCUCACUAGACCGUUACUGACGUGAGGCACGAAAGCCAGGGGAGCAAACCGA